ACAUUAAAGAGCAAGUAACGUCUAAAUUAACUUUUUUUUGCUGAUGAACUGUAUAAAUGAGUGUCUAAUAGUGUUUUAAAUGUGUGUAUUCAUUAUUUUAGCAUUUUGGUGCAUUUUCUUAAAAAAUUAAAAAUUCUGCCUAAAUACCACAGUAUAGCUCCACCUUCAGCUUAAAACAUAGAAUUUGAGUCAUUUUGAAUAAAUUUUAGCCAAUGGCUAAAGAGUAAGAUACUACGUAAACCAGUAGAGUACUACGUAGCAGCUCUGUGUCAACGUUAUAAAAGCAUCGGGAGUCUCGGCCACGCCUUGUGGCGAGUUGGGAGUUGGAUUUGCAUGAGAGUGUAGGAGGCUAGCCGUAGUUCAGCAUUAGCAUAUAGCAUUAGCAUAUCCUAGUCUUUAGCAUAGCUUUUAGUGUUAUACAUACUUAUUUAGUGUUAGCUUGGCUGUUGGAUAUUGUAGUUUAGUUACUGUUUGGCUGUUAGUGUAAUUAGGAAAGUAGUUCGGGUUUAGUGCUCCAUAUCGUGUUAGCAUGGUGAGAUGGUGUAGUGUAGUAUGGUUGCGGAGCUCUGUCGGGUUGCACUCCUUUCCGCUGGACUUAGAAAUUAGGCGCCAGUGGUUGCGUGUCUGGAAAAGAUUCAGCUCCCGCCUGGUGCUGUAGUUUGCAACCAGCAUUUUACCCGCGAUUCUGCACGUCUCCGUUCCAAGAGGGAGGCUGUGCCCACCGUGGCUCUUCCGCGAUUUAGAUACAGCCCACCGACUCUGCUCCCCCACCAUGACGGGCUACAGUCUGAGGCUAAAUCUACCCAAGACACUGACUGUCAGACUGAUUUAGUAAUCUGCAAGAAUGCACUUGUCCAGGCUGACGUGGUGUUACCCGUAGCAAAGAGCUCACAGCCUCAGUGUCUUGUGACACAGGGACCAUGACAGAAAUUCAUCUUCCAGAAGGUCCCAGAGCAUCCACACCUCCUGAAAAGACCAAGGUGUGAGGUGUCUGCUGUUGAUUCCAGCUUCCACCUCAGUGACAGUGCAAGCUCAGUGAACUGUUCAAGGUAAAAAAAUUAAAACAUUUCUGAAUUUUUAAGAUAUUAACAAUUAAAUAAGUAUGUGAUUACAUCAUGAAGGAGGCUACUGAUUCUGGCCCUGUGACACUUGGUGGUGACGUGUGAGCUGAUUCACCUGGUAAAUAACUUUUAAAUUAAAUAUUUUGUUUUUGCUAUCAAAAGUAAAUUAACUAAUAACCUGCAUUACUGCAGGACACUCAGCAAAAUAUGGACUCUACACCAUGAGGCAGGCACACGUUAAUAACUCUAUAAGAGCACAUAAGCCUGGCUGAUCACCUGAUAACUCCUGUCAUCUGGUUGUGACAGCAUGAGGAUGUCCUCACACACCUGUAACCUAUCAGCUCAUCUAGCAGAAUAGAGAGAGAAGAGACAACACCACAUCUCCUGUUCCUGGAAAGCCUUCAGCCAUCCUUCGAUGACUGAGAACCUCCAUCAGCUCUGUCUCCUGUCUGCCUACAAUUAUUAUAAUAAAUAUUGUGUUUGACAAGUU